rnacentral:lncRNA from 1 species
UGAAAAUAACGAUGAUCCCUUCGAUUGUGACGGAGGGGGGAGAUGGGCGCGCAUUAGUGAGAGAGGGAGGGAGAAGACGGUGUAUGGGAAAAGGGAGAAAGAAUUGACGAAUUAAGUGGAGAUGAAAAAUCUGGUGGAGAAAAAGUUUGGUAGUGGGAAUGUUUAGAUAUAUUAAUUAAAUAUAUUAAUUGAAAAUUUGAUAAAGAAAAAAGAAAUGGUCAAAUACUGGUGAGGGUGAAAGGCAACUUGCCAUUAGAAGUUUGGUAAUGAAAAUGUUUAAAUGUAUUAAUUAAAUUAUUAAUUAAAAGUUUAAUGAAGGAAGUGAAAAUGGUUAAAUGAUGGUGAAGGUGAAGGACAACUUACUACGUGGCAAAAAAUAUUAGGGAUUCAUAUAAGUUAAUAGAUUGCCAGCGAAAGUUUAGUAAUGAAAAUGUUCAGAUGUAUUAAUUAAAUUAUUAAUUGAAAGUUUGAUGAAGGAAAUGAAAAUGAUCAAAUGAUGGUGAGGGUGAAGGACAACUUACCACGUGGCAAAACAUAUUAGGGAUUCAUAUAAGUUAAUAGAUUGCCAUUGAUAGUUUGGUAAUGAAAAUGUUUAGAUGUAUUAAUUAAAUUAUUAGUUGAGAGUUUGAUGAGGAAAAUGGAAAGGGUCAAAUGAUGGUGAGGGUGAAGGACAAGUAGGGAUGCAAAUAGGGCGGGUCUGGGGGUGGGAGUCCCGCCUCGCCCUGCCUCCCGCCCCAACUACAGAAAGUCCGCCCCGCCUCCCGCCCCGAAUCUGUGACGGGUUGAAAAUAGUUAUCUCAUAAUCCGCCCCGC